UUCGGAGAGGAAGAGAAAGAAGGGCAACUCACAACCAACAACGUGUCACCAAAAAAGGAAAGGAAAUUACGCCUGUCUUCCAACUUUCCACAUCCCUCAAAAAUUUAAGGAAAUAAAACCCAAACCGCAACUCCUUGGGGAAAACCCAGACAAAGUGGAGUAGAGCUGGCAGAAACGUGGGCACGAAGAGUGGAACCAGUAUCUGCACUCCGCUCCAUCCCGUUUCAGGUGUACAACAGAGUGACUUGGCAAUUAUAUACGUUACUCAUUGCUCACCACGGUAAGUGUAGCCACCAUCUGUCCCUAUACAACAUUAUUACAAUAUAAUUGACUAUAUUCCCUAUGCUGUACUUUUCAUCU